GGAAUAUGGCCAAGGGAUGCCAGCUCCCCCGCCCGCAGAUGCGAGGUGGGGCUGGGAAAGAAAAGAGCAAAGAGGAGCAAGCACCUGCAUGGGAAGUCGGGUGGCUGGAGACAGCCCAGCUCCGGGUUUCCGGAGCACGAAGCAGCCCUCAGCUGGGGACAGCGGUGUUGUUCCCUGUCCCCUGCACUGCUCCCUGAAUUUGCAGGGGCAGCUCUGCCACCUGCAGCCACGGGAACCUGUCCCGAGCUGCACGCAGCUGGCAGAUGCUCCCCGCUGCCACCUUUCCUGGCCCCUCCGAAGGCUGGGCUACCAAAAUGCCACUGGUUUGGGAGGAAUCUGGAGCCAGUGAGGAAAACGCUGCUGCCCGUGACUCAGCAGGCUGCUGGGGAGGGCAGGCUGGUGCCAGGGUUUGCUGCAGCUCGCAGGGGCACAGCUCAGCUCGGUGGGGCUGAGUGGUGGCCCCAGCAGCACCCCAAAGCCCUUUCUUUCAGGGCUGUUGCCACCCUCAAGCAAAAUCAUGCAGCCCGGGGUUGCCUGACCCAUGCAGAAGCCCUGUCUGCUGCAGAAGCCCAGCUAUUGAUAUUCUCAGCCUCUCCAUCCAGCAGAAGUGCCAGUCCCAUGCCCUGCACCCCAUGGGGCUGGAUUUCCCACACCCAGGGCUCCUGUGCCCAGUGGCAGCUCCGUAAUGGGAACAAAACUGGGCUGUGGCACUGCUGGACCUCUCAGCCCUGCCCCAAAGCUGCUCACAAGGACACUGUGCCCAGCACAAAGUGCCACCAGGAUGCCUGCAGCAAAGAGCCNNNNNNNNNNCCCCCAGGUGAUCUCCAACCCUCCCAGCUGGGGACGGUCACUGGGGCUCCAAGCUUUGGGAGCGCAGCGCCGUGGGGUGUCCCCAUUGCGACCGUCCCGCUGCCCCGUCCCUCGUGCCAUGGGCAGCACCCGCACCUCGACAGGGCGAAGAGCUCUUGGGGCUGGAAGGAGAUGCAGACUCACUCCGACGGGAUCUCCAGGUGCUGGCUGAGGUCCAUGCAGCUCCGGCUGCUUCUGCUCCUGGUCCUCCCCCCACCGGCGAAGGUCUGGAGCUGCUGA
rnacentral:lncRNA from 1 species